UUGGCAGCCCUGUUAAAUAAUGAAAACAAUUUAUUUACUUGAUGAUGUUUAUAUCAACAUUAAAAUGUAAAAUGGAAAGUUUACAACCUCCUCAAUAUGGUUUGGAAAACAUACCAUUUCAGCAGCAAAUCCAUGAGGGAGCUGAGGGUCCUUGGGGAAGACCUAGGCAUAAGAGUGAAUUCCCCAAGUGGAGUAAAAGGAACGCGCUGGCUACCACAUGUGUCUAGAUCUUUGGAGACACUGUUAAAACUGGAGAGAGAGGAGGUUAUCUUCAGGACCCAGGACAGUUUACUGCAGUCUAUGUGCACAUGGACCACUUGGCCAGUGCAUCAGCAAACACAGACAUUGCUGGAAGGGCCAAAAAGAUCAAGAAGACUAUGGAGGAUGGAACUUUUGUAGCCUUCAUUCAAGUCAUUCUACCCCAGGCUGUCAGUGGGGUUCAAAACCUCAUUGUGAACAUUGAAACAAUGGCAGUGAGACCCAAACCAGGAGGAAGACUCCAGCAACUUGUAACAGACAUGCAGC